rnacentral:rRNA from 1 species
ACAGAGGGUGCGAGCGUUAUUCGGAAUCACUGGGCGUAAAGAGUUCGUAGGCUGUUCGUUAAGUCUAGUGUGAAAUCCCUGGGCUCAAUCCAGGAAGUGCAUUAGAUACUGGCGGGCUGGAGUGUAGGAGAGGUGAGCGGAAUUCCUGGUGUAGAGGUGAAAUUCGUAGAUAUCAGGAGGAACAACAGUGGCGAAGGCGGCUCACUAGACUACUACUGACGCUGAGGAACGAAAGCGUGGGGAGCAAACAG